rnacentral:rRNA from 1 species
AUGUUAAGACUAGCCAUGCACGUCUAGUACAAACUAAAUGAUGGUGAAACUGCAAAUGGCUCAUUACAACGGUUAUGAUGUACCCGGGAGUUCCGAUGGAUAUUUCCAGUAACACUAGAACUAAUACAUGUCCCUGCGUUUAUUAGUUUCGCACAGUCCGUCGCUGAGUCAUGGUAAACAGUUGAUCGACUCGACGUCCCGGAACAGUUUCCGCCCCAUCAGCUUCGAUGGUUGGGUAUUGGCCUACCAUUGCAACAACGGGUAACGAGGAAUUAGGGUUUGAUUUCGGAGAGGGAGCCUGAGAAACGGCUACCACAUCUACGGAUGGCAGCAGGCGCGCAAAUUACCCAAUGCAGACACUGUGAGGUAGUGACGAGAAAUAAUAAAGCGGGACUUCUGUUUCGCUAUUAUAAUGAGGAAUAACCAAAGGUCAUUCCGAUUAGCAACUGAUGGGAAAGUCUGGUGCCAGCAGCCGCGGUAAUACCAGCGUCAGUAGCAUA